rnacentral:pre_miRNA from 1 species
UCUUAUGGAUGAGUAACGAAAGUAGUUUCUUGAGAUGGAAUCUCCUCCGAUAAAGAUGCUGUGAA